CUCAGACAUGCAAGUCGAACGAUUAAACUUUCCUUCGGGAAAGAUAUAAAGUGGCGCACGGGUGAGUAACACGUAAGUAAUCUACCUCUGGGUGGGGAAUAACAGUCGGAAACGACUGCUAAUACCGCAUAAUGCAGCGGCUCCUUAUGGAGACAGUUGUUAAAGUAUUUAUAUGCCUAGAGAGGAGCUUGCGGCAGAUUAGCUAGUUGGUAAGGUAAUGGCUUACCAAGGCAACGAUCUGUAGCCGACCUGAGAGGGUGGUCGGUCACACUGACACUGAAUAACGGGUCAGACUCCUACGGGAGGCAGCAGUCGGGAAUUUUGGGCAAUGGGCGAAAGCCUGACCCAGCAACGCCGCGUGAAGGAUGAAGUCUUUCGGGAUGUAAACUUCGUAAAAAUAGGAAGAAUAAAUGACGGUACUAUUUGUAAGGUCCGGCUAACUACGUGCCAGCAGCCGCGGUAAUACGUAGGGACCAAGCGUUGUUCGGAUUUACUGGGCGUAAAGGGCGCGUAGGCGGCGUAACAAGUCACUUGUGAAAUCUCCGAGCUUAACUCGGAACGGUCAAGUGAUACUGUUAUGCUAGAGUACAGAAAGGGUAAUCGGAAUUCUUGGUGUAGCGGUGAAAUGCGUAGAUAUCAAGAGGAACACCAGAGGCGAAGGCGGAUUACUAGGCUGAUACUGACGCUGAGGCGCGAAAGCUAGGGUAGCAAACGGGAUUAGAUACCCCGGUAGUCCUAGCCCUAAACGAUGAAUACUCGGUGUCUGGAGUUUUAAUUCUCUGGGUGCCGUCGCUAACGUUUUUAGUAUUCCGCCUGGGGAGUACGCACGCAAGUGUGAAACUCAAAGGAAUUGACGGGGACCCGCACAAGCGGUGGAGCAUGUGGUUUAAUUCGACGCAACGCGAAGAACCUUACCUGAACUAGAAUGCGAGGGAAGAAUACCUAAUAGUAUUCGUCGGGCAACCGACCCAAAGCAAGGUGCUGCAUGGCUGUCGUCAGCUCGUGUC
rnacentral:rRNA from 1 species